UACGGAGGGUGCAAGCGUUAUCCGGAUUUAUUGGGCGUAAAGAGCUCGUAGGCGGCUUGUCGCGUCGUCCGUGAAAACUUGGGGCUCAACCCCAAGCUUGCGGUCGAUACGGGCAGGCUAGAGUUCGGUAGGGGAGACUGGAAUUCCUGGUGUAGCGGUGAAAUGCGCAGAUAUCAGGAGGAACACCGGUGGCGAAGGCGGGUCUCUGGGCCGAUACUGACGCUGAGGAGCGAAAGCGUGGGGAGCGAACAGG
rnacentral:rRNA from 1 species